CCUACGGGAGGCAGCAGUGAGGAAUAUUGGUCAAUGGGCGCAAGCCUGAACCAGCCAAGUAGCGUGAAGGAUGACUGCCCUACGGGUUGUAAACUGCUUUUAUACAGGAAUAACGUGACUUACGUGUGCGUCUUUGCAUGUACUGUAUGAAUAAGGAUCGGCUAAUUCCGUGCCAGCAGCCGCGGUAAUACGGAAGAUCCGUGCGUUAUCCGGAUUUAUUGGGUUUAAAGGGAGCGUAGACGGGUUGUUAAGCCGGUUGUGAAAGUGUCAGGCGCAACCCGAACCUUGCAAUGGAUACUGGCAGGCUUGAGUACGCGUGAGGUAGGCGGAAUUCGUGGUGUAGCGGUGAAAUGCUUAGAUAUCACGAAGAACCCCGAUUGCGAAGGCAGCUUGCUGAAGCGGAACUGACGUUGAUGCUCGAAAGCGCGGGUAUCGAACAGGAUUAGAUACCCGAGUAGUC
rnacentral:rRNA from 1 species